rnacentral:rRNA from 1 species
GGUUCGAUCAUGGCUCAGAUUGAACGCUGGCGGGAUGCUUUACACAUGCAAGUCGAACGGCAACACGGACUUCGGUCUGGUAGCGAGUGGCGAACGGGUGAGUAAUGUAUCUUGGAACGUGCCUGAAAAGUAGCGGGGGAUAACUACGCGGCGUAGCUAAUACCGCAUCACGCCCUUCGGGGGAAAGCGGGGGACCUUCGGGCCUCGCACUAUUAGAGCGGCCGAUAUCGGAUUAGCUAGUUGAGGUGGGGUAACGGCUCGCAAGGCGACGUCCGUAGCUGGUUUGAGAGGACGACCAACCACACUGGGACUGAGACCUGGCCCAGACUCCUACGGGAGGCAGCAGUGGGGAAUUUUGGACAAUGGGGAAACCUGAUCCAGCCAUCCCGCGUGUGCGAUGAAGGCCUUCGGGUUGUAAAGCACUUUUGGCAGGAAAGAAACGGCACGGGAUAAUACUGAUGCAACUGACGAUACCUGCAGAAUAAGCACCAGCUAACUACGUGCCAGUAGCCGCGGUAAUACGUAGGGUGCAAGCGUUAAUCGGAAUUACUGGGCGUAAAGCGUGCGCGGGCGGUUCGGAAAGAAAGAUGUGAAAUCCCAGAGCUUAACUUUGGAACUGCAUUUUUAACUACCGAGCUAGAGUGUGUCAGAGGGGAGGUGGAAUUCCCGCGUGUAGCAGUGAAAUGCGUAGAUAUGGAGGAACACCGAUGGCGAAGGCAGCCUCCUGGGAUAACACUGACGCUCAUGCACGAAAGCGUGGGAGCAAACAGGAUUAGAUACCCUGGUAGUCCACGCCCUAAACGAUGUCAACUAGCUGUUGGGGCCUUCGGGCCUUGGUAGCGCAACUAACGCGUGAAGUUGACCGCCUGGGGAAGUACGGUCGCAAGAUUAAAACUCAAAGGAAUUGACGGGGACCGCACAAGCGGUGGAUGAUGUGGUUAAUUCGAUGCAACGCGAAAAACGCCUACCCUUGACAUGUCUGGAAUCGAAGAGAUUUGGGAGUGCUCGCAAAGAGAACCGGAACACAGGUGCUGCAUAGCUGUCGUCAGCUCGUGUCGUGAGAUGUUGGGUUAAGUCCCGCAACGAGCGCAACCCUUGUCAUUAGUUGCUACGAAAGGCACUCUAAUGAGACUGCCGGUGACAAACCCGGAGGAAGGUGGGGAUGACGUCAAGUCCUCAUAGCCCUUAUGGGUAGGGCUUCACACGUCAUACAAUGGUCGGGACAGAGGGUCGCCAACCCGCGAGGGGAGCCAAUCCCAGAAACCCGAUCGUAGUCGGAUCGCAGUCUGCAACUCGACUGCGUGAAGUCGGAAUCGCUAGUAAUCGCGGAUCAGCAUGUCGCGGUGAAUACGUUCCCGGGUCUUGUACACACCGCCCGUCACACCAUGGAGUGGGUUUACCGAAGUAGUUAGCUAACCGUAAGGAGGCGAUUACCACGGUAGGAUUCAUGACUGGGGUAAGUCGUAACAAGGUAG